AUUGGAAGCCAUAAUCACACCAGAUAUUCACAGGCAAAACCAAAUAUUCACACACAGAACCAGAUAUUCACACAGAAAAUCAGAUACUCACCUACUGAGCCAGGUAAUCACACAGAACACAUACAAUAGUCAAGAUAAGGAAAGAGUUACCCUCCUUCUUCACGACCGGAGAAGAUCGGCCUUCAAGCAAACAGAGAAAACCCUAGGUUGAAAACCCUAGGUAUAACCGUCAGAAAUCUUACUGUAAGUAUGGUCAGGAAUGUCGGAAAGUCACCCAAAACAUCCUCUGAGUGAGAAUCGAGCCACCGGAUGAUUGUAAAACUUUAGGUUAAACCACCAGAAACCCUAGAAGCCGAUAAGUCACCAAAAAAAUCAACCCAAAAUCAUCAUAAAAUCUUCCAGAACGUUCAGGAGAAGAAGAUACACUCCGAUAUCACAACGAAAGACUCAGAAAAGUCUCCGAGAGGUCGGAAUCUUCAUCGACCGUGAGGUCUCAGAAAUCACCCCCAAAACCUCGAAACGGACUUCAUCUAGGACAACGAAAUGCAUAGAAACAUAGUCGGAUCGUUGUCGAGGCUCUGAUACCAUGUUAACAUCAAGAUUAAACCGAGAAAUCAUGAAGAUUGUAAAGAGAGAAAGUAGAGAGAAGGAGGAUUAUUUGAGAAGUCUCUGGAACUCAGAGAAAAUAUUAUUAAACGAAGCACAGAAGAGAAAUGAAGUCCGAGGUCCAAAAUUUCUAAGGACCCCAUAUAUAUACACAUACAUACAAGUGGGUCGGACCGGGUCGGAUGACCCAAAGGCAGAAAAGGAAUUGGGGCUCAGAUACAGUGGGCUCGGCACAUAUGCAAUUGGCCCAAUAACCAGUAAUCAUCAUAGCCCACACUAAUGUAUACCAGAUAUACAUUAAACAUACACUGCAUAUAC
rnacentral:lncRNA from 1 species